rnacentral:misc_RNA from 1 species
GAAAUGCGAUAAGUAGUGUGAAUUGCAGAAUUCAGUGAAUCAUCGAAUCUUUGAACGCACAUUGCGCCCCUUGGUAUUCCAUGUGGCAUGCCUGUUCGAGCGUCAUUUGUACCCUCAAGCUCUGCUUGGUGUUGGGUGUUUGUCCCCGUCUCCGCGCGUGGACUCGCCCCAAAGUGAUUGGCAGCCGGCGUACUGGUCCCGGAGCGCAGCACAUGUCGCGCAAACGAGUGCCUUGGUACGGCGGCGUCCAUAAGCCCCUCUCUCACGCUCUUGACCUCGGAUCAGGUAGGGAUACCCGCUGAACUUAAGC